UACGUAGGUGGCAAGCGUUAUCCGGAUUUAUUGGGCGUAAAGGGAACGCAGGCGGUCUUUUAAGUCUGAUGUGAUGGCCUUCGGCUUAACCGGAGUAGUGCAUUGGAAACUGGGAGACUUGAGUGCAGAAGAGGAGAGUGGAACUCCAUGUGUAGCGGUGAAAUGCGUAGAUAUAUGGAAGAACACCAGUGGCGAAAGCGGCUCUCUGGUCUGUAACUGACGCUGAGGUUCGAAAGCGUGGGUAGCAAACAGG
rnacentral:rRNA from 1 species